GUGCCGUGCCGUGCCGUGCCGUGCCGUGCCGUGCCGUGCCGUGCCGUGCCGUGCCGUGCCGUGCCGUGCCGUGCCGUGCCCAUCUGCAGGCUCGGAGGUUCGGAGCUCGCGGCUCCGCGCCCCCUGCAGUGUGGAUCUUGUCCGGCCGCCCCGAGCGAAGGAGGCUGAAGGUGGAGGAGGACGUGAGACGCGCGGAGCCUCCCGAGGAGAGGACUGCAGGUGAAGGCAGGAGUGAGGGAUGCGGGCUGCUGGGGGAGGGGGAGGGAUGGUGGUAUCCCCCCCCACCCCCAACCACCACCAUCCCUUUUCCAAACCCGGAGGGUGGAGGCCGGUUAGCCGGGAAGGAUGGAGGCACUGCGGGGAGGCAGCUCCGCCGGCGGUGGGAGGAAGGGUGAGGCCCGUAGGGCAUCCCCGGGCGGGAUGCGGUUACCUCCCGGGGAAAAGAGAACGCGAGGAAAGCGGAACCUCCGAGGAAGGUGGAGAGAGAGAGAGAGAGAGAGAUUGAGAGAGAGAGGGCUGCGGCUCCCGAGGAUGAAGAAAGGGCAGAGGGAGGCCGGGCCCGCGGGGAGGGAGAGAGGCUGCGGGUCCCCCCCAGGAGCAGUGAGCGGUACGCGGGGCCGGGCGCGGUGCAUCCGCGGGGCCGGCGGUGCUGAGCAUCGGGCGGGAGUCGCUCCCUCCUUUCCCUCUUCCCUUCUUUGCCACCGUCUCCUCCGCGUUCGUUCAUCCCGUCCGUUAACCCCAGAUCCGGGCUGCAUUCAAAGCAACCCAAGUUAUUAUUUAUUUGAAGCGGCAGGCUUUUCUAUUCUAUUCUAUUCUUUUCCUUCUGUCUUUCUUUCUUUCUUUUUUUUUGCAGUCGUUUUGUUUGGCGAGCGUUAAACGCAUUCGUGGGUGGGGAUACGUCCUUUUAUGUCUCCUAAAUUACGGGUGCAAAUUCUAUUUGCUUUCAUUAUCACCGGCUUGGAUGUAUUAUUUUGACAGAGCUCGGGGUUAUUAAAAAUAACGCGGCCUUAAUCCUCGGCACCUGCAGAACGUCAUUUCGUUUGCAAACGGAACAGAUUUAAACUGGAAAGGGGCUCGAUCCCCAAAACAGGCUGUUCCUGCGUGGCUGUCUCGUAAUUCUGUUCCAAAUGGUGUUUCUAAGGGCCCGAUUCUGCCCACGGCACUGAUGCUCUGCCUGGGCUGCAGCCGCAGGGCCCCGCUGUCGCUGCAUGCUGGCAUUACGGAUCCCACUGCUAAUUCUUGCAUCUCUGUUUAUUCGUUUCCUCCCUCAUUCCCUCUCUAAAAGCCACAUGCCUGGAAGCCCCCGGAGAAGAGGAGGUUGCCCUUUUCCUGCUAGUGCUGUAGACUUCAGGGGUUGGUUGUUAUCUUUGGUUAUCUAGCUGUAUGAGUGGUGUCGAUUCUUCAUAAAGCUAGAUAACCGAAAGUAAAAAUAACCCCAUUACACGCCUGAGGAGGAUGUGGAGAAGAAAGGAAAUUCAUCGGGAGGAAGAGAAGGAAAACAAAAAGAAAAAUGAAAGAGAAAGAAAGAAAGAAGACGAAGGAAAGGAGAGGCGGAAAAAAGAAAGAACAGAGGGGAGGAAAAAAAAAAAAAGACAACUUUUUGAGACUGGAAUUAAAACCGAGCCAUGUAAUUCCCCAAGCUGCCAGGCUGCACUCCUAUAGACAUGGAUAGACGUGUUCCCUUUGCCAGUGGGGUUCUGGCACAAAGCAGCUCCACCUCCGCUCCUCCUUUGCUGCGGCGCUGGGGAUGCCGUUGACUCCACCAGGUAUGUGCAAAGUCCCACCCUGUCACCAUCCCUCCCAAAUGUCAAUUUACACUCCAUCUGUGCUCUCCUAAGGAAGCAUCUAAAGCAUCUUCCUAAGGAAGUUUGCUUCCUCAGCACCGUGAUAUGAUAAUGAUGCUGCAGUCUCAGUCAUUGGCAAUAAAGCGGCUGUUGGCGCCGGGGCGGCUGCACCCACCAACCUCUCACCACGUGUGCAUUCAAUUCAUUAAAAAAUCAAUAUUGGAAAUCAUGGUAAGAACGAAAACCCCCCAUUUCCAGCUUUCUGGAAUAGCGUCUAUACUUGGAAAUAGAAAGCAACUGGAGGUGCACUCAGCAGCAGAGCAUGGCUGGUAGAUUCCCAGCUAGAGGACAGGGGGUAAAUACAGAAGCACACAUUUUUAUUCCUCUCUCAUCCUCAUUUUGGUAAGGGGGGGUUCACUACUCUCUUCCUUUAUAUUUUGACACUCGAGGCUUGCAGAAAUGCUCAACAUUAUAGCUUGCAAAGCGGCCUGGGAUCAGGUGAAAGACAUAUAGAGAGCACGCAUUCCAACGCAUGGAAACACGAUACUAUCAAUGCUAAUCAAUAAAAGCCUAACCCUAACCCUUACGAAUGACUUAGCCAUAUGCUGUGCAUGCACCUUGGCCCCCUGCAGCAGGCACGGGGCUCUGCCCUGGGGUUGUUGCUUCGAGCCCAGCGUGGCCUUGGUGUGCUUGGAGCAUCCCAGGCGCAUUGCAGCGCUGCUGCAUCGCGGCCGCUGUUUCCCAUGCGCUCCGUCCCUCCCAGGUGAUAACACCACGAGAAACAGUGUCACUUUUUCUUUUAUUUACUGCUUUAUUCCCCUGAUAACAAAAAAAAAAAGAAAAAAAAAGAAAAAGAGAAGGCUGGGAUUUCAGUGAUGUUAUUUUUUUUGGCUGGGGGUGAUGGGAUGGUGGCUCUGCGCCCUCCUGGAUGCCAAUGGCCAAACCUUUGGAGGGUGCCAUCACCCUUUGCCCAUGCACCACGGUGACGUAUUUCACGUCUGUUUGAUGGGUUUCUUUCCCCUCCCUUCCCUUUUUUUUUCCCCUUUUUUUUUUUUUUUCCCUCCCUCCAUUUCUGCAUUUCAGCCUUUGUCUCAUCUCCCACCGGCGCCUAACGAAGGGGCAGCCACUCCCACGCCAAUGGGGUUUUUGUUGUUCUUGUUUUCCCGGUGCUUUGUUCCCCUUUCCACCCUCUCUGUGGCCCUCAUCCUACGCUUAUGGGGAUCCCAGUAAGGGCACGGGGCUGGGGUGCCUGGGGAGGGAUGGAGAAGCACAAAGCCCAGGCACGACCAGGGCUCUUGUUGUCAUGGUUGUGAGCGAAAGAGUUAACCCAUUAGCAAUUCUGAGCCCUUCUUCCGAUAGUUAAACCUGAUUUGCAUGCAUUUGCAUAAUGAAUGUCAUUUGCAUUCCUGGAGGUUGGCUACUUCUGUGGGAAAAGUCAAAGCGGGAUUGCAGGGAGGGCGAAAAAGGGGGGUGUGUGUGUGUGGGGGGGGGGAGGUCGGUGAAGAAUGGAGGGAAGAUUUCCCCGCGCCCCACGCGCAUCCCUGCCCCCUCCGCUGUCCUCGCCCAAACGCUGCAUGUCUUUUCCUUUUCCCCCCAUUUUUUCCCCCCUCGAUGCCUUCCUGCCUCUCCCUUCCAUAGGAUAAAGCCAUAGCAUAAAGCCAAGGGCGGAUGGGCCGCGUCGAGGCGAGCGCAUCCUUCCUGCUUACCCCCACCUCCUUCCCCCCCCCCUCCCUCCUUCCCCUCCUUUAAUUUCCCCCUUCUAAUUCCAUCUUGGCUCCUGUUCCCUGCACCCUCGUAUGCAGGGGGCUGCGGCCCUCUCCCUCCCCUCUCCGUGGGUGCAUGCGUGCUGGAACGGUAGCAGAAAGGGAAAGAAAAGGUGCGAGCCACCAUUUUAGGCAGCCGACAUAAAAUGGCCGAUGCUCGCUCGUGGCUGCAGCCGCCCCACAUCUCCGCCCGUGGUCCCAUAUCCCAUCAUGGCCCCACACCCCACUCGUGCCCCGUGUGCUCGCCCUAGCCUUGCUCACCCACCUUUUCCCUUUGCCACCCAUGGCGUUCGCCCCAGCAUCCCUCCCAGAUCCUUUCCUUUGGAUUCAUUUCCCAUUCCUGCAGUGGGGAUGAGACCAACGUGAGCAUCCGGUCCUUUCUACACCACGUUUUGGGGUGGUCGUUAAAAUUUGCUCUGUGCCACGGGGGAUAUUUUGGCUUCCUUUGCGCCAAACGAUCUCGCAGUGUCUUCAACCCACAUUCGUAUUAUCAUGUAUUGCAGAAAUACUAACGAAGCAGCUGUUUGAUUAUUUUUUUUUUCCCUUUUAUUGGACUGAGAACGUUUUGUGGCUGCUUAAAGAUUAGGGGGGGGGGGAGGGAGAGGGGGAGUAAUAUCAGUGCAAAAUACAACCAAGAUCAUCCUUGCCCUGCAACGUGGCCCAUAGGGCUUCAUGCGCCCAAUGGGCGGUUUGAUGGACAAAGAGGAUGGCACUGAGGUCAGAUAGGAGCAGGAAGAUCUCCCGACCUGCUGGGAGCUUUUUGAUUGAUCGAUUCUGUUCUGAUACUCGAGGUAUUUAUUUUGGGGUGCUUUACUUGCAGAGCCCAUUGUGAGUGGUUGCUGGUUUGGUGGUGACCUCGGUGCUCCAUUAGCUUGCAUUGGUGCUCCCUAAUGUCUCCCCAUUUAUCUGCUGCUGAGAGAGCAAGAAACCUGAAAGUCUGAAUGUGUGGGAUGAGCUGAAGCCCAGAUCUCUUUAUAUCCCAUCAGGUUGGAGCAUGAGCUCCAUCACCCCGUGCCCAUUUUGGGGCUGAGGCCACCAUCUCCAUGCAGGCAUUGAUCCCACAGAGGCAGCCCAGCACCUCCAGCCCCGCGUGUGCAGGAAUGGGAACUCAUUCCCUAACACCCACAAAAAUGCAUUAAGGCUCUUAGCUGCUCAGCUGAGCUGGGGCCGCUCAGCUGAUUUCUCACUGCUUGGAUUGGGGGGGGGGAUUUUUGUGCCUUUUUCUUGCUUUUUAUGCUGGGAUGCAGGAGUGGAGUGGACGUGGGCUUGGGGAUGGAGCUUUGGCAUCGCUGCUCUGUGUUGCUGAGCCUCCAUCCUUGGCUUAUUGCUUCCUUUCCAUUGCUUGCUCCUCUCUGGUUUCUAUACUGUUAUCAAUGAUUUAUGGGGCUGAAGGGCAAGAGAAAAGGAUCUUUCUCUGGCCCCAUUGCCUUCCCCUGUUAAACAUGCCAAAUAAAUUUGGCACUGGGCACUUAAAUCUAUGUGUAGCCCAUGAAUUGCCAUGGAUGGAAGCAAGGUUUAUGUGGAGGGGAAAUACACAAGGCAGAACAAUAUGUAAAAAAUAAAAUAAAUCCGUGCUGGCAACCCAGAACAGCACAGAGCAAUGGGGUGGGGAAAGCAGCAUGGGGUCCUACUGAGCUCCAGCAUCACCGCUGCAGGGCUGCCUCGGAUGGCUAUGCCACAGCACUCAGCAUCCCCAGAUCUGCACAAGCUCCGGGUCUUGGGGCUGGGCUUCAUUUUUUUUUUUCAGCAGAUCCAGUGGCAGGGGGAAGCCUAGGGACCACGGCUCCCCAUGAGGCAGGGUUCUUUCGAAUGAGGUUUGUAGCAUUUGGCUCUGCCUUGUAACUCCUGGGCUGGAGGUCCACGGGGAUGAGGGAUGCUGGGUGAAUUCUGUGGCCAUAAUCAGCUGUAGUGCAGCUGGGGGGUUCUGGGGCUGACAUUUAUCCCGCUCUCAUCCCCUUUUCUCUUUCUCCCCACUAGUGCAGACAGUGGCUUCCCCUGCUGUGAUGCCCCACUCGUUUCCUGGGCAGCCAAGAGCAAUGCUUGAGUCCUGGUGGAAGUUCAUUCAGAAUUGCCUGGAGCGGAGGCUGGAGAGGAAAACCACAACCACAGCAGAGCCUGGACACGGGGAGCUGCUAGCAGGACCCAUCUCAGGGACAGUCACUGUGUGUACCUUCCUCCAUCCUCCUCCUGCUCCCAGCAGCUGAUGGCCUGGAGCAGCACAGAGCAGGCCUGGCAUCGGGCUAUAGGGACACCAGGAGCACCCCGGGGAUAGGACCCAACACCAUGCCACACUGGUGGAGAACACAAAGCUGGAAGAGGGGAAAAAAAAAAAUCAACAGAAGAAGAAGAAAAGAAUGGAAACGAAAGUCUCCAAACUCAGGAGAUCUGUGUUAAUUGCUUACGAACGUCUCCAUCCCAAAAGUUAUCCGAUUGAUGUUGUCGUGCUUUUUUUUUGACAGCCUGUCUGUUAUGUAUUUUUUUUUAAAUAUUCAUGCACCGAAAUCUAAUUACUAGGCAAAUUUAAUGAUAAUGAAAUGAAGGCACUUUAGCAGAAAGCAUAGGGCCUUGUUAAUAUUUUCUCAGUCUCUGUCUUGCUCACAUUUUUUUUUUCACCGCCGCCUUUCUUGCAGUAUAAAAGAAUUGCCAAAAAUAAAACUUGGAUUGCUGAAGAUGUUUGUGGUGGCUCUUUUUAUAAUGAUGGGGGAUUUGUGAGGUGAUUAAAGGUGCUGGGCAAAAAAAUCGAGUGAGCCAAAGCUAAUCGGGUGAGGCAGAUGAAGUAUUGAUGUUAGGGAACGUUAUGGGGGAAGACGGGUGCAUGCAUGGAUGGAUGGAUGCAUGCAUGGAUGGAUAGAUGGAUGGAGGGAUGGAUGGAUGGAGGGAUGGGUGGAUGCAUGGAUGGGUGGAUGGAUGGGUGGAUGGAUGCAUGGAUGG
ensembl:lncRNA